rnacentral:rRNA from 1 species
UACGUAGGGUGCAAGCGUUGUCCGGAAUUAUUGGGCGUAAAGAGCUCGUAGGCGGCUUGUCGCGUCGGCUGUGAAAACCCGGGGCUCAACCCCGGGCCUGCAGUCGAUACGGGCAGGCUAGAGUCCGGUAGGGGAGACUGGAAUUCCUGGUGUAGCGGUGAAAUGCGCAGAUAUCAGGAGGAACACCGGUGGCGAAGGCGGUUCUCUGGGCCUGUACUGACGCUGAGGAGCGAAAGCGUGGGGAGCGAACAGG